rnacentral:lncRNA from 1 species
GGAUGGAGAUGGCCAAGAGGCAACAUCUGGGUUGAUGUAAGGAGAAACUUCCUAAUCAUUCAAACUAGUCAAAGCUCUUCUCUGCAGAGAGGCCUUGACGAAUUGUUGAAAUGCCUCUACUGAGGCCCAUGAAAGUGUUUGCUUCCUUGAUAAGGACAAUGAUUGAGAGGGUGGAAAAGAGGUCUAAGAAGAAAAUUGUUUUUUGCUCCUGAGGACAGAAAUACCUGGUGCUGGCUGCUGGUGGUUUCAAUAAACUGCAUCCCUUUGUCUUUUUGCUUUCCCUC